rnacentral:rRNA from 1 species
UGGGGAAUAUUGCACAAUGGGCGCAAGCCUGAUGCAGCCAUGCCGCGUGUAUGAAGAAGGCCUUCGGGUUGUAAAGUACUUUCAGCGAGGAGGAAGGCGUUGUGGUUAAUAACCGCAGCGAUUGACGUUACUCGCAGAAGAAGCACCGGCUAACUCCGUGCCAGCAGCCGCGGUAAUACGGAGGGUGCAAGCGUUAAUUGGAAUUACUGGGCGUAAAGCGCACGCAGGCGGUCUGUCAAGUCGGAUGUGAAAUCCCCGGGCUCAACCUGGGAACUGCAUCCGAAACUGGCAGGCUAGAGUCUUGUAGAGGGGGGUAGAAUUCCAGGUGUAGCGGUGAAAUGCGUAGAGAUCUGGAGGAAUACCGGUGGCGAAGGCGGCCCCCUGGACAAAGACUGACGCUCAGGUGCGAAAGCGUGGGGAGCAAACA